AUUUCAGGCUGUUUGAAGUGUUGUCUAACCACAGUAAAUUUUACAAUAUUCACUACCUGUUCGAGGUAGCCAUUUAUCAGCUGUUGGAAAUGAUUUAGAAAUUUGCAAAAGUUUAAGGGUUUAUGUGUAUAAGUUAUUCUCCCAGAAUUCUGACUGCGUGCUGCCAAGCGAGUGCCACGUUCACAGAAAAGCCGAUCUUCCAUGCUUGUCAGCUCGUUGCCUGCAGUGAUUGUUUGUGAUAAUGCUGUGAAAUCACACUUUUUUUUUUUAGCUAACAGGCAUCAUGCUGAAGAUGCACACACUGUAUCCAGAAUUAAAGCAGUUCAUGCCCCAGUGUUCGUCCACUGCUGCAUUGCUCAACACCUCCGACCGCAGGGAAGCCUACAAACGUUGCUUCCUUCGCCUUCUCACCUCCUUCACCAUCAGUCUGGCCUUUAGUGCCCUCCUCUUCCUCAGCUUCUUAUCUCUGAAGCAUGAGAGGGCGGUGCUGGGGUGCGUCGCGGGCCUGAGCUUAGCUGUUACCACACCUGCCUUAUUCAUUUCCAAGGAUGUUCGCCGCUUUGGAGUCCUCUUCCUGAUCUCCUGUGGCAUGCGGCAAGGGAGGAAUCUGCUCAUAACUGCCGGGACUGGUAUAGUGAUCUUCUGGAAUGUUCAGAACACAUUCAGCAACCUCAAGGAGCUGGCUAGGAGCAUGAUCUGCAACCUGGAGACCAGGCGCAUUCUCAUUGACCUCACACCCAUUAGCAACUAUGUUAAAAUGCUAAAAUGGAUCGGCAAGCAACUGCAGGCAAAUCCCCAUUUUGGAAUGGUUGAUUUCAAGACUCAGCUACACGUCUCAUCCAGGGUUGAUUCUAAAGACCUGGCGAAUAUGCUGAAGCAUGCAGAGAAAACAUUAAAUGCCACAGCAGACCACGUACUUGGUGUAAUGGACACCAUGUCCUCCAUAAGCCAAAUAGGAGGUCCAGUCCUUGGUCUCUUUCUGGUCUUGGUUUUCACAGUAUUGUAUGCAAGGCAGUUCCAGCACAACAGAAAGUUUAUGAACACCUUUAUCACCAGCUACUUUAUCGAGUACGAUAGGAGGCAACAAGCUACAGGACAGAUUUCUGUCAUGCCCCUGACAAAAAAUGAAGAGGCUCUCUACACCACAAUCCCAUCUCUUUGGUUUACCACCAAGGAGUGCAAGGCCAUGCUGAAGUUCAGUCUUCCUGUCCUGACUAACUUCAUAGUCUGGGUUUUAUUUAUGGUCAUCGAUGCUCUUAUCUACUGGCUGAUUGUUAUCAUCAAAACCCAUCUAGAAAGUUUGGAGCCAUUCAACGUUCCCCUGAAAAUCAGCUCUGCUGAAGAAAAAACCAUCAUUGGCAUUAAUUUUCAGGAUAACAGAGAGAGCAGGGAUUUCUCAUAUUCUGUGGCCCUCUUUGAGGAGAAAUGUCUUCCUAAUCCCACUUUGAUGACCUACAACUCUGCGGUCCCGCUCUCUGUCAUCCUUGUCGUCUUGACCUUCCUGGCUCUUCUCUCUGGCAAACUCCAGCAAGUCCAACUCUUGGUAUCGACUAAGCUCUACAGCCAGGUCUCUGACAAAAGGGUCCAGUACCUGCACUCGGAAAUAGUCUUGGAUAGGCAGACAGAGAGGAAUGCCCAGAAGACUGCUCUGAUGAAACGACUGAGAGAGGUUUGUCAUUUUUUACUUCACUUGGAGGACUGAAGUCCUCCCCAUUUUGGUCAUUUUGACUCAAGCCUUUUAGUUUAUUGCAAUAUUAAAUUGUAUUUCUCAAACAUACUGUCUCUCGUACUUUUCAAUCUCAGGUUGAUAAUUUACUUGUCGUUCCUCACAGGAGAUUGAAGGCUAGAGGGGAUAGAGCCUUUCAAUCUGAGGUUUCCAAAUUUUGGAAUAAUCUCCCGUUCAAUUAUGUUUGGCAGACUCUUGGAUUCUUUUAAAAAAAAGCCAAAAACUUUUUUAAUCUGGCAUUUAAUCUGCUUUAUAAUUAUCUGUCAUUUAUUUUAAUGCGUGUCUUAAUAUUUUUUGUUUACUUCUUUUUAUUUAUUUUGUUGUGUGCUGCUUUGUGACUACAUGUCUGUGAAAAGCACUUUACUUACCAAGUUUAAUCAUAAGUUUGGAGUGAGAUUAUGUCUUUUAGGGUCAGAGAGUGAGACUUGAGAGCCCUGUCUUACCGCAUUCAUGGGAUCUUGUCUGCCACUUCCACCUUGUCUGAACUCCGUCUGUGGAGUAAUAACGCGCUUGCAGCGGGAUCACGUGUAAUUUAUUUUGGAAUUUACCCGGAAACAACAAAUGCUAUUUUAUGAUUGGCUGGCCAGCUUCUGGUUUCCAAUAUUGUUCCAUGAUAAAGAAAAGGACAAUUUCUGACUAACCUCACCAGGAUCAAUGCAACCAAGGCAAGUGUUUUUCUCUGGGAAAAUAUUCAUAAUAUUACUUAUUGACAUUAAUAUUUUUAAAAUGUAAUGCAAUAUUUGAAAAGGAUAUUUUAAAUUAAUUCAUGUUUUUAAGCCUGUAAGGCUUGUAGAGUUAAUAAUUCCCCUAAAUGUUGUUUUCCUUUUAUGUUUUGGAAAUAGUAUUAAUUUGGGGAAAUAUAAGAAUAUAUAAAGAAAAAUGAGGUUUUGAACGGGUGAAAUGAUUCUGCUGUAAGAAUAUCUAUCGACAAACAGAUGUCUAGCUUUCAGGGCCGUGAAUGAGGCACGCUGGUACAUGGGUCACGUGUCUGCGGGGUGCUGUGGUACCUUCAAAUCACCAAAUACACUACAAAGUAAACAAUGACAAGAAUUCAGAAAUUAACACAGGCGGCAGAAUAACAUUGAUAUAGUUCCUGAGCCAUGGUGUAUGUAAAAAGGUCCUCCAUGAUUCGCAUUGAGCAUAUUAUGUAUGAACGUAUGGUAUAUAUAAAUGUCAGCUUCAGUGUUAAGAUGCAGUCUGCAUUGUGUGCUGCGAAAUCUUCAAAGUCAUGUGCUAUCAUACUACCAAAGCAGUUGAGACUCAAUUUUGCAUGAACUUCCAUUAGGGAUUAUUUUGGUGAUCUGUAACCUGUUUAAACAGAUUCAUUCAUAUACAGAUAUCAUUGUAGUGUAUAAAUCAGCUUCACAUAUAUUAAACAAACCCUUGAGGGAGUUAGACAUAGCAUCCAGCCGAGUAGGAGAGCUGGAAUUAAAUAAGUUCUGAGAACUGAGUUUACCCUCACAGUGUUUAAAUGAAAAUGUUUGUGUUCUCCAGACAACGCUGGCCUACAGGCCGUUUAAAUACACACGUUCUCCAUCCCGUGUCCUGUACUUUCUGGGUGAGGUUGCAAUCUGACUGUGACCCUUUACUGGAUAAACAGUUAGAGGAGAUGUGCAGAUCGAUGUAGAAUACCCGAAUUUAAGGAUCCAUCUCAUUCUCUUUCGUUCAAGUCGCAGCUUUACAACAUUUAUAGUUUUUAUCACAUGGCCAUUUAAGAAGAACAUCACUGAGAUAACAGCUACAGGGAUCUGAUUUCUUGUUGCUGUAGGUACAAAGUUCUGAAUGCUGAUUUGAAAUGUGAAGCAUGACAGCUUAUCGUCAUCAAAGACAAAAGAGAUGUGUUCGCAGAGUGAAUGGGCUGCAGUGCACAGGCAGCCCACCCAGUACCUCAUUGUGUCUGCAGGCCGCAAACCUGUGCUGCUUGAUGAAGUUUCCUACAGAGAAGUUCAAGACAGGCUUGUAAACUGAAGAUUACUGGUUCCAGUCCAGAAAUGGCUGAAUUAUGUCAUACUCUUGACUCUUGAAUGUACCUAUUCUGAAGUUCUUUAAUGAAACAUUCAGCUCUUGGGCCUUCUGUUGACCGCAUUACAUUCCUUUCGCAUGAUUGGGUUGCUGUUCUUCGUCCUGAAGGAUAGAGAUAAACUGUGCUAAUGUAUUUAUCUGCUGGGUUUUAUUCCAUACUGCAAUGGUUACUGCGGUAUAAUGCUUAGCCAUGCUUUUGUUUGAGUUAAUGCAUUGCCAGAAUUCUGGAAGGUUCCAGCUAUAGAAAAUAAAAUCUAACAGUAAAUAAUGAUAAUGCAAACAGUUAUUUUAAGCAAAAAUGCUAUUGCGAUGCCGACUAGGUGCUAUAGCUGAAUGUAGCGACAAAAGGAAAGCAACAGAGAAGAAGCCAUCAUUGUAAGAGUAUGGAAAGCGUGUGUUAAAUGAGGCCUGUGAGAGAGAAAUCGAGAGCAGAGGAAUGCAAAUGAAGGAGAAGUACACAUCAUUAUGUCCAAUAA